CCGUGAGGGAAAGGUGAAAAGAACGCCGAGAAGGCGAGUGAAAUAGUACCUGAAACCGUGUGCUUACAAGCGGUCGGAGUCUGCAUUUAUGUGGAUGACGGCGUGCCUUUUGUAUAAUGAGCCUACGAGUUACUCCUGUUGUGCGAGGUUAAGCCCCUGGAGGGGUGCAGCCGCAGCGAAAGCGAGUCUGAAUAGGGCGAGCAGUACAGCGGGGUAGACGCGAAACCAAGUGAUCUAUCCAUGGCCAGGGUGAAGUGGCGGUAAAACGCCAUGGAGGCCCGAACCGGUUGACGUUGAAAAGUCUUCGGAUGAGCUGUGGAUAGGGGUGAAAGGCCAAUCAAACUUAGAGAUAGCUGGUUUUCUGCGAAAUCUAUUUAAGUAGAGCGUUUAAAAACUUUAUUAAGAGGUAGAGCACUCAUCAAAUAAGGAAAACAUAAUACAAAAAGUUUUAACAAAUUUAGUGAAACUCCGAAUAUUUAAUAAAAGAAUUUAAGCAGACAGACUAUAUGUGCUAAGAUCUAUAGUCAAAAGGGAAACAGCCCAGAUUAAAUGUUAAGGCCCUUAAAAGUAAUUAAGUGAUAAAGAAAGUAAAAGAUUUUAAACAGCCAGCAGGUAGGCUUGGAAGCAGCCAUCCUUUAAAGAAA
rnacentral:rRNA from 13 species